UAAUACUCGCGGUCCAAAUCGCAGCCAUUUUUAUUGGGUCUAAAACAUCCGUAGCUUGCUUGGUAAGUUCCCUGUGAAAUCCUAUGUCUCAAGCAUAGGGCGUGCAGGGAGUACUGCCUCGCUAGAGACUGGAAGAUGUAGGAAGUACGUUCGAAGUAGCGGUAAAAUGUUUUAAUCUCGAACGGACUCACAAUAGCGAAGGCAUCCUACAAGGACAGUUCUGACAGUAAGGGAUGAAGGCUAGGGGCGCAAAACGGAUUAGAUACCCGUGUAGUCCUAGCAGUAAACACUGCACACUAAACAUCAGUACCUCCUCGAGAGGUAUUGGUGCUGAAGGGAAGCCGAAGAGUGUGCUACCUGGGAAGUAUAGUCGCAAGGCCG
rnacentral:rRNA from 1 species